GAGAGUCCAUUCUUCAGCCCCAAGGAUAGAGGCUGCAAAAACUGCCCACGUCAUCUGGCCCAGGACACAUCCUGCCUGUGGGGUGGGCUGACCUCAUACCUGCCACAUACUGGGAGCCCAGAGUCCUCCCACUCCAGCCCAGCCCAGUCCAGGGCCACCAGCUCUUAGGUUCUGAAGUAGCCCUUUGAGAGGGUGAGGGUGACAUGCCAUGUCUCUCUGUUCCCAUCCUCCUGCCAGUCUUCUCUCCACCCUAGCAUUUCAGGCAAAGGAACAGAAAGCCAGUCUGUGCCCCCACCUGACACUCUCUCCAGGAAGUGUCAGGGAGUGGGCUCUGCUGCCUGGCCCCUCACGCCAGGCUUCAGGAUGAAAGGAAACUCCAGAAUGACAAUUUGGGAUUAUCUAGUGCCCUGGGCCAGAUAGUCUCCUGUGAGGAUUAGUGGCAUCUUUGAAAAGCAGCGGCCACUCCUUUACACAAUACCUCCUCUUCAGGGGAUCUCCUCCCACUCUCCCAUACAGGGAGCUCUGAAUCUGCAGAGGACAGCUUAUCUUGGAACACCUUUGGGAUGGGAAACUGAUCACCUUUCAAGGAAGCCCAGUCCAUCUGCAUCUGUGCUAGAAAGUUCUUCCUUCUACCGACUCAGAAGCAGUCUCCCUGCUGUUUCCUCCUUGCAUCACGGAGCAAAGCCUGCUGCUUUUUCCAGGAGCAGUGGGGGCACGAAAUGUCCUAUUGUUUACGUACCCAAAGAGUGCUUGCUCUAAGCUCCUUCUCCACGAGAACUCUGCAGCUGCCGCUGACCACAGGAUGCUCGUUUGGACAAUGAAGCCCCUUUCUAAUGGGAGGAUACUUUCAGGAUUGUUGCCCCUAGUGAGCUUCCUACUCCUCCCCUUCCGGUUGCCCCCGGUGUGCCCUCAGGCUCCUGGCAACUCCACUGCUUCACUCAGCCAUCACUCCAACUAGCUUUCUAUAUCUCCAUGCCCCUGUGUUCAGUCCUAAGUGGAGCUACUGGAUAUUUGAGCCUCUCACUCAGCAAGCCUUGGAGCUCCUUCCCUUAAGCCCUACUAGCACCCUUCCCCCAUGCAUGUAGGUCCCGGGGCCCAGCCACCACUGCAGGCAUGGAGGAAGGGGGUGGGCAGUGCACAGGUAUCCAUGGCAAAGGGCCAGCGGGCUGUAUCUGUGGAAACAGAAUCUGUAGCCUCCCUCACUGAUCCUCUCUGAAUCCCCAGCGCUGGAGG
rnacentral:lncRNA from 10 species